AGUCGAGCGGAACGAGUUAACUGACCCUUCGGGUGACGUUAACGGCGUCGAGCGGCGGACGGGUGAGUAAUGCCUGGGAAAUUGCCCUGAUGUGGGGGAUAACCAUUGGAAACGAUGGCUAAUACCGCAUAAUGCCUUCGGGCCAAAGAGGGGGACCUUCGGGCCUCUCGCGUCAGGAUAUGCCCAGGUGGGAUUAGCUAGUUGGUGAGGUAAUGGCUCACCAAGGCGACGAUCCCUAGCUGGUCUGAGAGGAUGAUCAGCCCCCACUGGAACUGAAGACACGGGUCCCGACUCUCCACCGGAGGCCGCAGUGGGGAAUAAUUGGCACAAUGGGCGCAAGCCUUUAUGUGCAGCCACUGGGCGCGGGGGGGUAAGAAAAGCCCUCUCCGGUUGUAAAGAGACUUUCAGCAGUGGGGGAGAGGGCGGGACGUUUAUAACGUGGUUCGUUUGACGUUAGCUGGCGGAAAAAAAACCCGGCUAAAUCCCGGUGCGCGCAAGCCGCGGGAAUACGGAGGGGUGGGGAGGGCGUUAUCUGAAAUUAUCGGGGGCGAAAGCGCAUGCAGGUGGUGUCGCUUAAAUCACAAGUGGAAAGACCGGGGGCUCAACCUCCCGAACUGCGUUUGAAACUGGGGCGGACUAAAAGUAAUAGUUAAAGGGGGGGUAGAAAAUUCAGGUUGUAGCGGUGAAAGGCCUAGAAAAUCUGCAAGGAAUAACCGUGGCGAAAGCGGGCCCCCUGACCAGAUACAUGACACUCAGCAUGCGAAAACGUGGGGGAGCAAACAGGAUUAGAUACCCUGGUUAGUCCACGCCCCCAAACGAUGUCUACUUGGUAGGUUGUGGCCUUGAGCCGCGGCCUUUCGGAGCUAACGCGUAAGUAAACCGCCCUGGGGGGAGUACCGUCGCAAGCAUUAUAUACUCAAAUGAAUUGACGGGGGCCCGCACAAGCGGUGGAGCAUGUGGUUUAAUUCGAUGCAACGCGAAGAACCUUACCUACUCUUGACAUCCAGAGAAGCCAGCGGAGACGCAGGUGUGCCUUCGGGAGCUCUGAGACAGGUGCUGCAUGGCUGUCGUCAGCUCGUGUUGUGAAAUGUUGGGUUAAGUCCCGCAACGAGCGCAACCCUUAUCCUUGUUUGCCAGCGAGUAAUGUCGGGAACUCCAGGGAGACUGCCGGUGAUAAACCGGAGGAAGGUGGGGACGACGUCAAGUCAUCAUGGCCCUUACGAGUAGGGCUACACACGUGCUACAAUGGCGCAUACAGAGGGCAGCCAACUUGCGAAAGUGAGCGAAUCCCAAAAAGUGCGUCGUAGUCCGGAUUGGAGUCUGCAACUCGACUCCAUGAAGUCGGAAUCGCUAGUAAUCGUAGAUCAGAAUGCUACGGUGAAUACGUUCCCGGGCCUUGUACACACCGCCCGUCACACCAUGGGAGUGGGCUGCAAAAGAAGUGGGUAGUUAACCUUCGGGAGGACGCU
rnacentral:rRNA from 1 species